rnacentral:rRNA from 1 species
AGUAGACCGCCUGGGGAGUACGGUCGCAAGAUUAAAACUCAAAUGAAUUGACGGGGGCCCGCACAAGCGGUGGAGCAUGUGGUUUAAUUCGAUGCAACGCGAAGAACCUUACCUACUCUUGACAUCCAGAGAACUUUCCAGAGAUGGAUUGGUGCCUUCGGGAACUCUGAGACAGGUGCUGCAUGGCUGUCGUCAGCUCGUGUUGUGAAAUGUUGGGUUAAGUCCCGCAACGAGCGCAACCCUUAUCCUUGUUUGCCAGCGAGUAAUGUCGGGAACUCCAGGGAGACUGCCGGUGAUAAACCGGAGGAAGGUGGGGACGACGUCAAGUCAUCAUGGCCCUUACGAGUAGGGCUACACACGUGCUACAAUGGCGCAUACAGAGGGCGGCCAACUUGCGAAAGUGAGCGAAUCCCAAAAAGUGCGUCGUAGUCCGGAUUGGAGUCUGCAACUCGACUCCAUGAAGUCGGAAUCGCUAGUAAUCGUGGAUCAGAAUGCCACGGUGAAUACGUUCCCGGGCCUUGUACACACCGCCCGUCACACCAUGGGAGUGGGCUGCAAAAGAAGUAGGUAGUUUAACCUUCGGGGGGACGCUUACCACUUUGUGGUUCAUGACUGGGGUGAAGUCGUAACAAGGUAGCGCUAGGGGAACCUGGCGCUGGAUCACCUCCUUAAACGAUGAU